CAAAGUAUAGCUUAAAUAAAGCGCCCCGCUUACACCGAGAUUAUCUCUGUUAAAACCAGAUUACUUUGA
rnacentral:tRNA from 1 species